CGGGUGCACUGAUCCGGCCGGGCCUUUCCCUCUGUGGAACCCCAUGGCCUUCACUGGCUGUGCGGGGGAAACAGGACUUUUACUGCGAAAAAAUUAGAGUGCUCCAGGCAGGCCUAUGCUCGAAUACAUUAGCAUGGAAUAAUAGAAUAGGACGCGUGGUUCUAUUUUGUUGGUUUCUAGGACCGCCGUAAUGAUUAAUAGGGACAGUCGGGGGCAUCAGUAUUCAAUUGUCAGAGGUGAAAUUCUUGGAUCUAUUGAAGACUAACUACUGCGAAAGCAUUUGCCAAGGAUGUUUUCAUUGAUAAGGAACGAAAGUUAGGGGAUCGAAGACGAUCAGAUACCGUCGUAGUCUUAACUAUAAACUAUGCCGACUAGGGAUCGGACGAUGUUAUUUCUUGACGCGUUCGGCACCUUUCGAGAAAUCAAAGUGCUUGGGCUCCAGGGGGAGUAUGGUCGCAAGGCUGAAACUUAAAGAAAUUGACGGAAGGGCACCACCAGGGGUGGAACCUGCGGCUUAAUUUGACUCAACACGGGGAAACUCACCAGGUCCAGACACAGUGAGGAUUGACAGAUUGAGAGCUCUUUCUUGAUUCUGUGGGUGGUGGUGCAUGGCCGUUCUUAGUUGGUGGAGUGAUUUGUCUGCUUAAUUGCGAUAACGAACGAGACCUUAACCUGCUAAAUAGCCCGUACUGCUCUGGCAGUUCGCCGGCUUCUUAGAGGGACUAUCGG
rnacentral:rRNA from 1 species